CUUAUUCGGGACCCACGACUUUUUUCUCGGGAUCCACGACUUUUUAUUCGGUACCCACGACUUUUUAAUCGGGACCCACGACUUUUUACCCACGACCCACGACUUUUUACCCACGACAUUCUACCCACGACCCACGACAUUCUACCCACGACCCACGACUGUUAUUCCCACGACUUUUUACCCACGACCCACGACUUUUUACCCACGACCCACGACUUUUUACCCACGACAUUCUACCCACGACCCACGACAUUCUACCCACGACCCACGACUGUUAGCUAGUCCCUAUUUUAACACCA